UACACUCCUACGGGAGGCAGCAGUGGGGAAUAUUGGACAAUGGGCGCAAGCCUGAUCCAGCCAUGCCGCGUGAGUGAUGAAGGCCCUAGGGUUGUAAAGCUCUUUCACCGGUGAAGAUAAUGACGGUAACCGGAGAAGAAGCCCCGGCUAACUUCGUGCCAGCAGCCGCGGUAAUACGAAGGGGGCUAGCGUUGUUCGGAUUUACUGGGCGUAAAGCGCACGUAGGCGGACUAUUAAGUCAGGGGUGAAAUCCCGGGGCUCAACCCCGGAACUGCCUUUGAUACUGGUAGUCUUGAGUUCGAGAGAGGUGAGUGGAAUUCCGAGUGUAGAGGUGAAAUUCGUAGAUAUUCGGAGGAACACCAGUGGCGAAGGCGGCUCACUGGCUCGAUACUGACGCUGAGGUGCGAAAGCGUGGGGAGCAAACAGGAUUAGAAACCCGGGUAGUCCCAUGAU
rnacentral:rRNA from 1 species